rnacentral:rRNA from 1 species
AAAUGGGGGGGCGGGUGCUAUACAUGCAGUCGAGCGAAUGGAUUAAGAGCUUGCUCUUAUGAAGUUAGCGGCGGACGGGUGAGUAACACGUGGGUAACCUGCCCAUAAGACUGGGAUAACUCCGGGAAACCGGGGCUAAUACCGGAUAACAUUUUGAACCGCAUGGUUCGAAAUUGAAAGGCGGCUUCGGCUGUCACUUAUGGAUGGACCCGCGUCGCAUUAGCUAGUUGGUGAGGUAACGGCUCACCAAGGCAACGAUGCGUAGCCGACCUGAGAGGGUGAUCGGCCACACUGGGACUGAGACACGGCCCAAACUCCUACGGGAGGCAGCAGUAGGGAAUCUUCCGCAAUGGACAAAAGUCUGACGGAGCAACCCCGCGUGAGUGAUGAAGGCUUUCGGGUGGUAACCCUCUGUUGUGGGGAAUUAACAAGU